rnacentral:rRNA from 1 species
UGAGGAAUAUUGGUCAAUGGACGCAAGUCUGAACCAGCCAAGUAGCGUGCAGGAUGACGGCCCUAUGGGUUGUAAACUGCUUUUAUAUGGGGAUAAAGUGGGGAACGUGUUCCCUUUUGCAGGUACCAUAUGAAUAAGGACCGGCUAAUUCCGUGCCAGCAGCCGCGGUAAUACGGAAGGUUCGGGCGUUAUCCGGAUUUAUUGGGCGUAAAGCGAGCGCAGGCGGUUAGAAAAGUCUGAAGUGAAAGGCAGUGGCUCAACCAUUGUAGGCUUUGGAAACUGUUUAACUUGAGUGCAGAAGGAGAGAGUGGGAUUCCAUGUGUAGCGGUGAAAUGCGUAGAUAUAUGGAGGAACACCGGUGGCGAAAGCGGCUCUCUGGUCUGUAACUGACGCUGAGGCUCGAAAACGUGGGGAGCGAACAGG